GUGUAGUGUGUAGUCCCACAGCCGGCCUCUGAACUGAUAUCUUCAUGUUCUACGACAAAGUAUAUAAAUUGAAUAAUAGAAGAAUAUUAUAAGUAUAUGGGAUAAACAAUGUAGCUAAUAUGUCAGUCGUCGUCGAGCUCCGUCUUCCUUGGGGCUGGUGCAUGGUUUAAACUUUAGUUGACUCCAAUUUGAUGGUGGAGUGAGUACCUUGCCUCCCUUAACCAAUGGCGAACCCUAGGCUCCGCUCUAUCACUUGGUGGAGGAAGUGGUCCAGGAAGGACUGGGCCAUCGCCGCCGUCGGAUUCACCCUCAUCGUCUUUCUCUGCACCCUCAUCUCCAACUCUAUGAUCGACCAACCUUUCGAUCACGAUCAUGCCAUCGCCGCCGAUCUGGUCGACCUAACUUUGCUGCACAAUGCAAAGGAUAAAGGCGCCCUUUGUUUGGAUGGGAGUUCGCCUGGAUACCAUUUCCAGAAGGGUUUUGGAUCUGGCUCUAACAAUUGGCUGCUUCACAUUGAGGGUGGAGGUUGGUGCAAUACAAUAGCGUCAUGUUCUUUGCGCAAAUUAACACCAUUAGGUUCUUCCAAGUACAUGGAACGUCGAGUUAGCUUUUCCGGGAUCUUGAGCCCUUACUCGUCUCAAAACCCUGAUUUCUUUAGCUGGAACAAAGUCAAGAUACGUUAUUGUGACGGUGCAUCUUUUGCUGGCAACCCCAAAAGCGAGCUGAAAAAUGGGACGAAACUUUUCUUCAGGGGGCAGCUCAUCUGGGAAGCACUUAUGGAUGAACUCUUGUCACUUGGCUUGUCUAGUGCGAAGCAGGCUCUUCUUUCAGGAUGCUCUGCUGGAGGAUUGGCAACUCUUAUACAUUGUGACGACUUCCGACAACUUCUGCCUAAGGAUGCAACCAUCAAGUGUCUUGCUGAUGCAGGUUUUUUCCUCAAUGAGAAGGAUGUUCAUGGAAAACAAACUAUGAGAUCAUUCUAUGAUGAUGUUUUCCACCUUCAGGGUGUAGAAGGAAGUUUACACAAGGAUUGUGUUUCGAGAAUGGAACCAUCGAAGUGUCUCUUCCCUCAAGAGAUUGUAAAGAACAUAAAGACUCCAGUUUUUCUUGUCCAUCCAGCAUAUGACUUUUGGCAGAUACAACAUAUCUUGAUACCAGAUGCAUCAGAUCACAACUGGCGAAAUUGCAGACUGAAUAUUCAUGAUUGUAAUCCUAACCAGAUUGAAAUACUACAAGGUUUCCGCAAUUCUCUGCUCAAGGCAUUGAAUGAAUUUCAGAAAAAUGCGGAAGGGGGGAUAUUUAUAGAUUCUUGCUUUGUUCAUUGCCAGACGUGGAUGGAUCAUACAUGGCAUUCACCCCAGUCUCCAAGAAUAAACAAUAAGUUUUGAAGAGAAGGCAACAGAACCAAGUUACUAAAAUGAAUAAACCAGAUGGCACUUCGCUUAACACCCCUGAAGCUAUACACGAGGGUGCAGUCCAAUAUUUUCAAGAAUUUCUAAGUCAUAAAGCUGAAGGGGAGCCGCCGGAUCUGAGCUCCUUCAUUGAUCAGGUCAUCACAGAAGAAGAGAACAAAGAUAUUUACAAGAGACCGUCGAUGGAAGAAAUUUGGCAGGCAAUCAAUAGCAUUCCAGUGGAGAGCAGCCCGGGUCCAGAUGGUUUUGGGUCGGGAUUUUUCAAAGCUUGCUGGGCCAUUGUCAAGGGGGAUGUAGAGGAAGCUAUUGCAGAAUUUUUUGAGGGUAAACAACUUCCAAGGUACUACACGGCAUCGUAUGUGGCUCUUAUUCCCAAGGUACAGCAGCCAACAGGUUUCGAUAAAUUUAGGCCAAUUAGUCUGUGCUCCGUGAUUUACAAAGUAUGUUCUAAACUUAUUGUUGGCCGGUUAACAUGUUUAUUGCCGAGGUUAAUUUCUCAAGAACAAGGAGCUUUCGUCCCCAACAGAAGCAUUUUCGAAAGUAUUAGCCUAACUCAAGAAAUGGCUCGAUCUAUACACAAAAAGUCGAAUGGUGGAAAUGUUUUAUUGAAAGUAGAUAUGUCCAAAGCGUAUGACUGAGUUAAUUGGAAAUUUCUGAGGCAUGUUUUGGGUGCUUUCGGGUUCGAUGAGAAGGUAGGAGAGCUGAUUGAAAAUUGCAUCACGACGCCGUGGUACUCCAUUCUACUAAACGGAACCGUAAGGGGUUUUUUCAAGGGAGAAAGGGGACUACGACAGGGGGAUCCUCUCUCACCUUACUUAUUUAUUCUUAUUAAAGAAGUCUUCACAAGAAUACUAAAGAAAAAAAUUUGAGAGUGGGUUAAUAGGAGGCUACUCUCAACCUAGAGGUACGCCUUUAAUUUCUCACUUACUAUACGCAGAUGAUAUUGUGAUAUUUACAAAUGGAGCUAAACGGUCUAUUAAGGAGUUAGUUAAACUUAUUGAGCUAUAUGAAAAGUGGUCGGGCCAGCAAGUGAGUAGAGAAAAAUCGGCAAUAAUAUUUUCGAAACACAUAAGGCAAACCCGAAGAAGGAGCAUUCUGCAUCUUACUGGUUUUGGGGAGGGAUGGUUUCCGAUGAAGUAUUUAGGGGUAAACAUUGUGGAAGGAAGAGUCGCCUUUAGUCAUAUGGAGGAUCUUGUUAAUAAAAUUCGAAACAAGGUAAGUGGCUGGAAGACCAGAUUGUUGUCAGCGGGUGGAAAACUUAUCCUGCUAAAACAUGUGCUGUUGAGUUUACCAAUUUAUCUCCUUUCAGUGGUUCAGGUCCCGAAGUUAGUUUUAAACAGCAUCAACCGAAUCCUCAGCAAUUUUUUUUGGGGAGAAUCUGAUGGUAGUCCAAAAAGAAAAUGGUGUGCUUGGAAUAAAAUUUGCAAGCCAAUAAAAGAAGGAGGACUUGGCGUGCGAGACCUUGAAGAGGUCCAAAAUUCACUACACAUGAAGUUUGCAUGGAAGAUCAUCACGGAAAACUCUUUAUGGGCACAAUUCUUCAGGGGCAAAUACGUGAAGGGCAUCCACCUCUCCCUUCUAGACAAAACAAAAGGAACAAGAUUAUGGAAGAUGAUAAUGAAACAAAUUCCACAUGUUCUGGAAAGGGCAAGGUGGAAAGUGUGAGAUGGUCAAAUUUCUUUUUGGUUUGAUGCGUGGAAGGGAACUGGCCCUCUAGUAGACUCCCUUCAACUUACGGAACUCCCAGGUUUAAAACUUCAUGACUGUAAACUUGGCAAUGAAUGGGAUAUACAGCUCCUGGAGAGGCUGGUGGGAGUGCAAAAAACAGAGGAAUUAAUCGAAGAACUAGGAAAACCUCGGCAGGGGAAGGAUCUGCUGGUGUGGACUCCUGUAAUAGAUGGUCAUUUCACAACCCGGAGUGCCUGGGAAUGUCUACGUGUGAGAUCAUCUGAAACUCCAUGGGCGGCGUGAGUGUGGCAUGAGACCCUCCCGAAAAAAAUGUCGAUUAUGGUUUGGAAAGCGUGGCAUAACAGCCUAAGUGUGGAUGACAGGCUAAGGAGAAUCGGGAUCCCAGUGGUAUUGAAAUGCUCGUGCUGUGCUGAAGGAGGCUAUGAGGAUGUUAAUCACGUCUUAUAUUCCUGGAAUUUUGCCCAGAAAAUAUGGAGGAAAUAUGCUAACUCAUUUGGUCUUCCGUUUCGGGAGUAUAUCACGUGGAAGGAAAAUUUGAAUCUAUGGUUUAGGCGAGCGUCCAGGAGCUCUCAGAUGGGGGUUAUCAUGGGAAUCCUUCCCACCGUUAUAAUGUGGAAACUUUGGACAAGAAGGUGCAGAUCACGUAUGGAGGGUUAUGUGGAAUCGAUGGAAGAGGUUUGGUUUGUGGUUCGUCUUUGGCUGAUGAGACUUUUGAAGGAAACAUCUUCCUUCCGAAAACUUGCCAAUGAAGAUAAAGAAAUACUAAGUGCAAUGAACAUCAAAAUCCUCCCGGUGAAGAUGAGACAGGUUCAGGUGGUUAGAUGGAUAAAACCGAGACAGGGAGAAUUCAAGUUAAACACAGAUGGGUGCAGCUUGAAUAACCCAGGGAUUUCAGGUGCAGGGGUCUUCUACGUGAUGAGAAGGGAAAUUUAAUUUUUGCUUUUUCAGCAAACCUGGGCAUCGGCAGCAGUUCAGCAGCAGAAAUCAAAGCCAUCCUCCAAGGGCUGAGAAUGUGUCGAGAGAGAAGGAUAGGGGGAGUAAUAGUUGAAACUGAUUCUCGGAUGGUGGUCCAGUGGUUCAGCAAGGAUAAGUGUGGAGUGUGGUACCUUGAAGAUUUCUGGAAGGAGAGCUGCAGCCUUAUGCGAGAAGGAGGGCAUUUGAUCCAGCACGUCUUCAGGGAAGGAAAUUUCCCUGCUGAUUUUCUAGCAAAGUUUGGAGCUCAAGGACACAAUCAGACCAUUGCAGAGUCUGUAGGUGAUUGGUUCUUCAAUCGAAACAUAGUGAAGCAAAUUGACUGCCCCUAUCCAUGCAAUCCCACCUGCUAUAAUAUGAAUUUCACUUGAGGAUGAUGGAGCUAUUUUCCUGUUUCAAUUUCUUCUCAUGGAUUGUGGAAUUGUUCCUCUUCAUGUCUAAAAGGAUGAUCCUGGUCCUAGAGAUUAAUAUUCAGAGUUACUUCAGGACUUAUUUGUGCCAACUGCAUUCUAAAGAUUCCGCUCGAUGAAUUUAGAAGCUGUAACUUAUAUUCCAACUUCUUUCUUUAUCUUCCAUGUACUUUGGAGUCUGUUCAACUUGUCUUGGACGGGAAACGAAAAGAGAGCCCCAUAUUUAAAGCUC